UACAGAGGGUGCAAGCGUUAUUCGGAAUUAUUGGGCGUAAAGGGCGCGUAGGCGGCUUGGCAAGUGGAAGGUGAAAUCCCUCGGCUUAACCGAGGAACUGCCCUCCAAACUGCUUCGCUUGAGACCGGGAGAGGUGAGUGGAAUUCCCAGUGUAGCGGUGAAAUGCGUAGAUAUUGGGAGGAACACCAGUGGCGAAGGCGGCUCACUGGACCGGUACUGACGCUGAUGCGCGAAAGCGUGGGGAGCAAACGGG
rnacentral:rRNA from 1 species